UACAGGGUGAGUAAAAAAAAACUGAUACCUUCGCGGCUAAUUUGAGUAACAAACCUUUGUUAUUCAAAUUAACCGCGAAGGUAUCAGUUUUUUUUUACUCACCCUGUA